UCUUCUUCCUCUCACAGUCAUGUGAACUUCCACCCCCAGUCUGAAUUGCAGAUACUUUUGAUUAUUCAGCUCAGGUGUCCUUGCAGAGUAAUGAGGUCUUUCUGCCCUGUGAUUUCCAGCUGCCAUCACCCUCGGCAACCCAAACAAACCCAACUGAUUGCACUUAUUUAUAGAUCUGAAUGCUGAUGUUGCUCUCCCCUGGGGCUGGCUCUCAUCUCAGGAUGGAGCAGAUUUCAGGUUAGCUCAUUUCCUAGCCUUCUUUCACUUCCUCUUGGCCCUGGUGCUGCUGCCAGCCCUUUUCCUGCAGGAUAUUCCACUGCUUCCUCUUGAAGGAGGAGCGGCCCCUUCAAAACUGAGCUGUGUUCCCUGAGCUGUGCCCUACUGCCAAGCCAGCCCCACACCGCUGCCUCUGCCUGAUCCAGGCUGUCAGAUGAAGGUUCUCCCACACCUCCAGAAAGCAUCGCAGAGCAGCUGGGGAAGGGGCUGGAGCUCACAGGCUGCAGACCUGUCUGGUAGCCAUGUAAAAUCCCCCGAGAGAUGCUUCUUUCUCAGAAACUGAUGCUGCAAGUCAUGUGAAAUGAAGAUGAGAGGAGAAGCAAGGCAGCUAAAAGCUCCAUGACUCAAACCAGGCCACGGCUGAGCAUGGCCUGCCGAGCUGUGAUGGGUGCUGGAUCUCAAUGUUACGAAGGAUGAGUACAGCUCAGGAAUCACAAUGAAUUUCUGAGAGAGUUGCACAUGUUGGAGUUCAAAGCUGUUUGAAUUCUGAACUGUCAACAUCCCAUUACAGUACAAGUUAAGAGACGAUAUUGCUAUAUUACUAUUGUGUCUAGUUUGUUUAAUGUUCUUCAGGUGCUUUUCUGAAUUUAAUUUCCACUCUUGUUAAAGGAAUAGGGGAGCUGGCAGCAUCUUCUAGCCUUUGUGCAAAGGAAUAAUGGGAGGGAGAAGGUUAUGUCCGUGCCUAAAGGAACAUGGAGAAUGUCCAUGCAUGAGGGUGGAGAGCUCUGUUUAUUGCAGGAGAGAUUUUUGUGUGCUGGAGAUGAAGCAGAAAGGGAUUAAUUUGGCAGCGGAAGAGAAAGUUUCACUUCAUUCCCAGAGAAGUUCAGUGUUUCUCUUUGGAGCGGCUCAGUUUUUAACAUCACAGGCUUUAUAAUGAGCAGUGCAGCUUCCUGCUGGCAGGCAGACUUUGGGAGCAGAGUUGUGCAUUUUUCCAGAUAGGCUUGAAGGGUUCCCUUUUCAAAACUUUAGGUUUCUGUAGAAAGAUCCAUUUUAACUGUUAGUGUACAGUAUGAGGUAAAACACGAAUCCUGUUCCUGUCAGUAGGAACUCUGGAGUGCAUAAAGCCAGGAUUUCACCCCAAGAUUCCUUGGGAUCUGUCAGACUGGUUAUAGCAGAAAUACAUAUCUAGAAUUGGGCACUGGAAAGCACAUGACCACUUGGUUGCAAAAUUAACAGAGACGCAAAUAAAAGAAACUAAGUAUGACAAGCCCCCCAAAAACUAAUUUAAGCUUAGGAGAACAGAAAUGAAAGUGGUGAGAAGCCUGGUGAAAAAUCAUGCUCUUAUCUCUGCCCUGUGCAGAAUUGUUCCCCUGCAAUAUGUUCUCCAGGUCUUUGUCUAGACGUUGUGUGUCUAGAGAGACGUUUGUCUUCAUGAUGUUAUACCCAAAUGGCAUGUCUGAGUGCUCAGAUGGAUAUUUUGUCAGUAUUUCAAGCUAUCGAAGUUGAUCUUUAGCUGAAGGGUGAGUUUAGAACUCAGCGUUAUUUCCAGCUCCACAGAUCAUCAGCAUUUCAACAAAUACAGCGUUUUCCUCAGCAGGAAGGCAAUGUCUGCCCCCCCAGAUGUGUUGCAAUGGGGACGUAUAGGAGGGAUGACGUGGUUUGCUAAAUGGAAUACGCCUCUGGAGUUAACAGCGGCUUCAGCCCUCUUUUCCUUCUCUGUUAGCCCAGGACAGCACCGCAGCGAGGACGGUGACAGCCUGGUGAGAGCUGCAGUGCAGCACUGCGUGUAUUUGACAAGCUGAGUUUGACACUCAGUCUGGCAGAGUGUCAGUUUGUCAAAUACCCCAAGUGAGGCACUUGCUGAGCAACACGGCCGUGCACCGAGGCGAUGGACUCCUUCACACCCAUAUUCUGCUCCUCUCUAAAAACCCCACGAGGUAUGGAACAAACCGCCCACUGUUACUGGGCGCCCCACUGCUUUCAUGCGGUCAGGUUUCCUUCCCACCCUGAUCUCAGGGGUGCCUGCUGGAGUGGUACUCUAGUGGCAAACUGCUACAGGAGUACUGGUACAGUUCCUCUGCAUUGGGAGAACAGAACUGGGCUGUUUUUAAGAAAGACCAUGGAGUCCAUUACUUUUCCUUGCAGUGUUGUUGUUUGGCUUAGGCUGGGUCUUCCUAGCCAGCACUUGCCGCAAGGCUGCUUCUUGUUUUUGCCACAUUUCUAUUUUGUUCAAAUAAUUCUGAGUGACCUCGCUCGAAGAUCUAAUGCUCUCUUAGCAUUUUUAAGGACAGCCUUGUAGCAUAUCAGGCACACGGCUUGAGAUAGCCCUUGGUGAGUGAGGGAUGCAGCUGACAGAGCACAAGUGCCCAGCCCAGUUUGACUAACCUCCUUGCUCAGAAGCUGAGAGAAAAAUCCCAAAGCUCUACUGACCUUUCUUUUAGGUCAGCACCACCUGCAAAUUUUGUGGUAUUUGAGAAUAUUGAUACACUUUAAUACUAAGCCGUUUUAUUUUUUCCCUAUAUAUUUUGAAGAAGUUGGAGUUUGUACAAAGCUGGGACCAACUAACAUUUAGUUUGGCCCAAGCAAACUGUGUUCUGCUUUCUGAAUAAGUCCUAUCAGCAGGGCUCAUUGUGUGCUUCUGGACAAGCACGGUCCUACCCGCUGUGACUCACACUCCCGUGGUCUCUUUCCAACACCUACGCAUGACUCAUAGACAUCGCUCUGAUCAGUAUCACUGAGGUCAUCUUCAAAAGAGAACAAAGUCUAUUAUUUCAGGGUUUGUUUCGUCCUCCGUGGAUCCUUAAUGUAGCUGGCAGAUAUAUCAGCCCCAGCCCUCGUCACCUCACAGACCUCCAGGUUGCAGCAGGCCUGAAGUGUUGUGCAGUGCAGCUAGCCCAGCAUUCAUUUUAAGCUCUUCACAGUUGUUUCCUUAUGCGUUUACAGCUUUUGCUUUCAGAAAAGUUAAUCCAUUCUUAUUCUAUGAGAAAUACCGAAGUAGAGGGGAACAAACUUUUCUACCAGAGACUUCCUCUCUUCUCUCUGUUGAGAGCAGCAGGUUCAGGAGGGCUCUGAGGGCUGGCCACACCUGGCAGCUUAGAAGCCAGCAGGUCUGCACAGCUGUACAGAAGCGAGGGGAGCUUCAAGUCUCAUGAUAGUGUGCUGGCUGCUAGAAAUAGUGUACUUUUCUGGAGAUCCUGUAGUUUCAGAGCGGAAGCUGAGGUUUCCCUUUCUGUGCUGGUGUAGAACUGGGCUCUGUCAGAUGAGUCAUGUCCCUGGGUGAAUGACCAGCACGAGGAAAGGAGAAGUUCUCCUGUUUGAUGGAGAUGUGACACAGCGGAGCCCUCUAUGGCUUUCAGAAGGAAAAUGUUCUGUUCCCAAUGGCUUUUACUACCAAGCACACAAAAAAUAUAAAUAAAAAAAUAACCACGUGGUGCAUAGAGGGAACAACAACCUGGGCACUGGGAAAGGUUUGUGUGUUUCCACUGAUCUUUCCCUGGUGACGAAGGCCAUUUUGCUGCCUGGACUGGAGGCAGUACCAACGGCUGAGGUACUCAGGAUGUGCUCCACCUGGGGUGUUUGCUACCUCCUUCUUUGUUCCUGUUGCUUUCUUCCUUUGCAGCCUCUCCUAGAAUUCAGGGCUCCCGAGGAAACUGCCUGGAGUUGCUCAGAGAAGAUUGAUGCUGGGAGGAAUCGAAGUUUGGAGAAAUCACAUUGUUACAUAGUCAGUGAGGGAACUUGAAGUCAGGAGCUUAUACUGGAAGUAAAUCUUGCAUAAAACGUUAGGCUAGCUGUAAAUGAAUGAGCUUGAGACUUGGAAUGGAAGAAAAGAGAGCCAUGUUCUACAUUUUGUCUGCUGUGAUGACAGUUGGGAAGCUGAGAAGCUUUCAGUUCCUUCAAAGACAGCACUCAUACCACAUGCUUCUGCUCCCUGUGCAAAGGGCUGCAGCUCCCCAUUCCUCAUUUCUUUUUGUCCUGCUUCACCCAAGAUUGUAGCACCAACACUACUGUUUCAACCCUGCACCUUCAAGGCCAGCUUCUGUGAGGUGCACUCUGCAGUGAGUGCAUGAGUUACAAAAAGCACACAGCCCUUUGAGGACAAGCUACCCCAGAGACAAAGCAAAAGAGCCCCUCGCACAUAUUUCCAGCACUUCUCAUCCUCAGUCAGGACACAGCCACCCCAGGAGCAGGCCAGAUGGGAGCACCAGCAGCACAUGUGUGCAGAUCAAUGCUUAGCAUGGGGCUGAGUCCCACGUCGCCCCUGGGGACACAGUCCUGCUGGGUGCUACCUGCAGUUCAGGAAGCUCAGCAUCUUGGUGCUGCAGCACAGCCAGCCUGCAGUGCCUGCAACUGUGGUUGAAGUAAUGAGAGGAGUGUGGUGCGGGAUGACUUAAUGCCUCUCAUCUGUCCUCUCUAAAAAGGAAACCCAGGUCAAACUUCCAAGUCACAAAGUUAUAGAUUCCUUAGAAGGGACCUUCAGAGGUCAUCUAGUCCAGCUCCCCUGCAAUGAACAGGAAUAUUCACAGCUCCCAGAUGGCCCAGGGCCUGAUCCAGCCUUACCUUGAAAGUCUCCAGGGUUGGGAUAUCCUCCACAUCUCUCUGCAACCUGUUCCAGUGCCUCAUUGCCACAUAUCCAACCUAAAUCUUUCCCCUCUUUAUGCUUGAAGCCAUUUACCCUUGUUCCAUCACCACAGACCCUGCUACAGACCCAUAGCUCCAAAGAUACCAAAAGGCCACUCUCAGGCCACUUUGCAGCCUUCUCUUCAGGCUGAACAGCCCCAGCUCUCAGCCUGUCCUCAUAGGAGAGGUGUUCCAGCCCUGGGAUCAUGUGGCCCUCCUCUUGAUGCUCUCCAACAGGUCUAUGUCUCUCCUGCACUCCACGUCUGAAUGCAGUGCUCCAGGUGAAGCCUCACAGCACAGAGUAGAGGUGCAGGAUCACCUCCCUUGCCCCACUAGCCAUGCAUCUUUUGAUUCAGCCCAGCAUACAAUUGGCUCCUGUCCAGCUUUCCAUGCAUCAGCACCCCCCAAGGCUUUUUCAGUAGGGCUGCACUUAUUCCUUUCAUCCCCCAGUUUGUACUGGUAGUGAGGGUUGCCUCAACCCAGGUGCAAGAUCCUGCAUUUAGAUUUGCUGAACUUCAUGAGGUUCACCUAGGCCCACUGCUCAAGCCUGUCUCAGUCCCUCUGGAUGGCAUCUCAUCCCUCUGGUGUAUCCACCACAUCCCACAGGUUGGGGUGAUCAGCAAAGUGCUGAUGAGAACUCGAUCCCACUGUUGAUGUCACUGAUGAAGAAAAGAGUAUCAGUCCCAGCACUGACCCCUGGGGGACACCACGCAUCACUGAUCUCCAUCCAGACAUUGAUCCAUUGACAAACACUCUCUGGCCUCGAUUCUGCAUCCAGUUCUUUGCCCAUUGACCAGUCCACCCAUCAAAUUCAUCUUUCCAAUUUGGAGAAAAGAAUGUUGUGGGCUACUGUGCCAAAGGCCAAAAGUCAAAUGCUGGCCAUUUGGUCUGUAUCCCUACCUGUGCUACAGAAGUGAACCAGAAGACAGAGAACAAAUUUGCAAACAACAGACAUAUGAAGGCACUGUGUGGUAAAACACCAAGAAAGCCAGAAUGCAUAUACUACAGAUGUUUUUGAAGUACUUUAUAUUUGCCCUGGGAAAUAAAUGGCAAUGCACUAA